CACGUAGGGGGCAAGCGUUGUCCGGAUUUAUUGGGCGUAAAGAGCUCGUAGGUGGUUCGGUAAGUCGGGUGUUAAACCCCCAGGCUCAACCUGGGGACGCCACUCGAUACUGCUGUGACUUGAGUCCGGUAGGGGAGCGUGGAAUUCCUGGUGUAGCGGUGAAAUGCGCAGAUAUCAGGAGGAACACCAGCGGCGAAGGCGGCGCUCUGGGCCGGUACUGACACUGAGGAGCGAAAGCGUGGGUAGCAAAUAGG
rnacentral:rRNA from 1 species